AUAUCAAGGGUACAUGCUCUCCACAAGUCUUAUCCCUGUUGACGUUGACCUUGAUCGCCUGGCUGAGGUCGUGUUUAUCAGGUUUCUCCACUGUAAAGUCCCUGUCUCCUC